UACGAAGGGGGCUAGCGUUGUUCGGAAUCACUGGGCGUAAAGGGUGCGUAGGCGGUUUUUUAAGUCAGGGGUGAAAUCCUGGAGCUCAACUCCAGAACUGCCUUUGAUACUGAAGAUCUUGAGUUCGGGAGAGGUGAGUGGAACUGCGAGUGUAGAGGUGAAAUUCGUAGAUAUUCGCAAGAACACCAGUGGCGAAGGCGACUCACUGGCCCGAUACUGACGCUGAGGCACGAAAGCGUGGGGAGCAAACAGG
rnacentral:rRNA from 1 species